AGGAGGAGGAGGAAAGAAGCAGCAGCAGCAGGAGGAGGAGGAGGAGCCCCGCUCAGGCGCCCGGGGUGAGGGACGGGAACGGCCACCGGGGCUGGGAGGGAGCGGGGUGAGGACGGGGACUGGGAGUGGGGUGGGGAGAGGGGACAGGGGACAGGGACUGGGAACGGUGAGGACGGGGACUGGGAGUGGGGUGGGGAGAGGGGACAGGGACUGGGAACAGGGAUAGGGCCAGGGACUGGGAACAGGGACUGGGGACAGGGAUAGGGCCAGGGACUGGGAACAGGGACUGGGGACAGGGCCAGGGCCUGGGAAUACGGACUGGGGACAGGGAACAGGGACGGGGGACAGGGAAUAGAGACAGGGGAUCAGCGACUGGGAAUAGGGACUGGAGACAGGGAGAGGGAGAGGAAUAGGGAGUGAGGACAGGAAUAGGGAGAAGAACUGGGACUGGGAAUAGGGAACAGGGAGAGGGAAUAGGGACUGGAGCCAGGGAGAGGGACAGGGCCUGGGGACAGGGACAGGGACUGGGAAUAGGGGACAGGGACUGGGAACAUAGAGACUGAGGACAAGGAUAGGGAGAGGGACAGGGACAGGGUGAAGGUGGCGGUGGCUUGUCCAGGGUCCCCACCCAGACCUCUCCCCUCAGUGCUGCGCCCCUGGGUCUGCAGCCUAAAAGCAGAGUUGGUGUUUAUUAUUCAGGAAAUCGGUUUAAGCAACACCAACAGACACUAUUCUGCCCCACAGUCACAGACUCACUGAGGCUGGACAACACUUCCGAGACCAUCGUGUCCAAUAUUUGACCGAUCACCACCUUGUCGACCAGCCCAGAGCACUGAGGGCCACAUCGAGUUGUUCCUUGAUGUGAUGGGGAAGGAAGCACCUAAGAUGGUUCUUAUAGCCUUGAUCUCCAAGGAUUUCCCAACAUGACUCAGCUCAAUCUUCAAAGAGGUGAAGAAGGUUUGGCAGCAGUUUGCAGUCAGAGGAACAGGCCUGUUGCAGUGCAGAACCAGCAGAGACCAGGAGUCCUGAAAGUCAAUCCCUGUGGUGCUCAUGUUGGACAAGUGCAGUAUGGAGGAACCAGUGAGGCAGAACUGCCUUUGGAGACAUUUAGAAGAACAAUACCCAAGAAAUCUUUGUGUAAAGAGCAGACCAGGCAGCUGAAGAGAUGCCACAGGAUUUCAGAGGAUCACCACAUCUUUGCAAGUCCUUCAGCUGAACAAGCCUACCUUUUGAACAGUUGAAUCCAG
rnacentral:lncRNA from 1 species